GGUUCGAUUAUGGCUCAGAUUGAACGCUGGCGGGAUGCUUUACACAUGCGUCGAACGGCAGCACGGACUUCGGUCUGUGGCGAGUGGCGAACGGGUGAGUAAUGCAUCGGAACGUGCCUAGUAGCGGGGGAUAACUACGCGAAAGCGUAGCUAAUACCGCAUACGCCCUUCGGGGGAAAGCGGGGACCUUCGGGCCUCGCACUAUUAGAGCGGCCGAUAUCGGAUUAGCUAGUUGGUGGGGUAACGGCUCACCAAGGCGACGAUCCGUAGCUGGUUUGAGAGGACGACCAGCCACACUGGGACUGAGACACGGCCCAGACUCCCUACGGGAGGCAGCAUGGGGAAUUUUGGACAAUGGGGGAAACCCUGAUCCAGCCAUCCUGCGUGCGAUGAAGGUUUCCCGGGUUGUAAAAGCACUUUUGGCAGGAAGAAACGGCACGGGAUAAUACUCCCCGUGCAACUGACGGUACCUGCAGAAUAAGCACCGGCUAACUACGCCAGCAGCUGCGGUAGUAGCGUAGGGUGCAAGCGUUAAUCGGAAUUACUGGGCGUAAAAGCGUGCGCAGGCGGUUCGGAAAGAAAGAUGUGGAAAAUCCCAGAGCUUAACUUUGGAACUGCAUUUUUAACUUACCGAGCUAGAGUGUGUCAGAGGGAGGUGGGAUUCCGCGUGUAGCAGUGAAAUGCGUAGAUAUGCGGAGGAACACCGAUGGCGAAGGCAGCCUCCUGGGAUAACACUGACGCUCUCAUGCACGAAAGCGUGGGGAGCAAACAGAUUAGAUACCCUGGUAGUCCACGCCCUAAACGAUGUCAACUAGCUGUUGGGGCCUUCGGGCCUGGUAGCGCAGCUAACGCGUGAAGUUGACCGCCUGGGGAGUACGGUCGCAAGAUUAAAAACU
rnacentral:misc_RNA from 1 species